rnacentral:rRNA from 1 species
UGUGGCCAAGUUUUUAAGGGCGCACGGUGGAUGCCUUGGCACCAGGAACCGAUGAAGGACGUGAGAGGCCGCGAUAGGCCCCGGGGAGCUGCCAACUGAGCUUUGAUCCGGGGGUGUCCGAAUGGGGAAACCCGGCAGUCGUCAUGGGCUGUCACCCAUGCCUGAACACAUAGGGCAUGUGGAGGGAACGAGGGGAAGUGAAACAUCUCAGUACCCUCAGGAAGAGAAAACAACCGUGAUUCCGGGAGUAGUGGCGAGCGAAACCGGAUGAGGCCAAACCGUAUGCGUGUGAUACCCGGCAGGGGUUGCGCAUGCGGGGUUGUGGGAAUGAGCUUUCACAGUCUGCCGGCUGUGAGGCGAGUCAGAAACCGUAUGGAUAGGCGAAGGACAUGCGAAAGGUCCGGCGUAGAGGGUAAGACCCCCGUAGCUGAAAUCUGUACGGCUUGCUUGCUCAUCUCCCAAGUAGCACGGGGCCCGAGAAAUCCCGUGUGAAUCUGGCGGGACCACCCGCUAAGCCUAAAUAUUCCCUGGUGACCGAUAGCGGAUAGUACCGUGAGGGAAUGGUGAAAAGUACCGCGGGAGCGGAGUGAAAUAGUACCUGAAACCGUGUGCCUACAAGCCGUGGGAGCGUCGGACGUACUUGUACGUCUCGUGACUGCGUGCCUUUUGAAGAAUGAGCCUGCGAGUUAGCGGUGUGUAGCGAGGUUAACCCGUGUGGGGAAGCCGUAGCGAAAGCGAGUCCGAAUAGGGCGAUUGAGUUGCACGCUCUAGACCCGAAGCGGAGUGAUCUAGCCAUGGGCAGGUUGAAGCGGAGGUAAGACUUCGUGGAGGACCGAACCACCAGGGUUGAAAACCUGGGGGAUGACCUGUGGUUAGGGGUGAAAGGCCAAUCAAACUCCGUGAUAGCUGGUUCUCCCGAAAUGCAUUUAGGUGCAGCGUCGUGUGUUUCUUGCCGGAGGUAGAGCACUGGAUAGGCGAUGGGCCCUACCGGGUUACUGACCUUAGCCAAACUCCGAAUGCCGGUAAGUGAGAGCACGGCAGUGAGACUGUGGGGGAUAAGCUCCAUGGUCGAGAGGGAAACAGCCCAGAGCAUCGACUAAGGCCCCUAAGCGUACGCUAAGUGGGAAAGGAUGUGGAGUCGCAGAGACAACCAGGAGGUUGGCUUAGAAGCAGCCACCCUUGAAAGAGUGCGUAAUAGCUCACUGGUCAAGUGAUUCCGCGCCGACAAUGUAGCGGGGCUCAAGCGUACCGCCGAAGUCGUGUCAUUGCAGCAAUAGGGCCAACGCCUGCUGUGAUGGGUAGGGGAGCGUCGUGUGCCGGGUGAAGCAGCAGCGGAAGCUAGUUGUGGACGGUUCACGAGUGAGAAUGCAGGCAUGGAGUAGCGAUACACACGUGAGAAACGUGUGCGCCGAUUGACUAAGGGUUCCUGGGUCAAGCUGAUCUGCCCAGGGUAAGUCGGGACCUAAGGCGAGGCCGACAGGCCGUAGUCGAUGGACAACCGGUUGAUAUUCCGGUACCCGCUUUGAAAACGCCCAUAUCGAAUCCUCUGAUGCUAAGGCCGUGAAAGCCGUUCCGGACCCUUCGGGGAAAGGAAAGUGGUGGAUGCCGCCGGCCCAAGGUGGUAGUAGGUAAGCGAUGGGGUGACGCAGGAAGGUAGUCCAGCCCGGCGGUGGUUGUCCCGGGUAAAGGGUGUAGGCCGAGGGGUAGGCAAAUCCGUCCCUCAUAUAAGGCUGAGACCUGAUGCCGAGCCGAUUGUGGUGAAGUGGAUGAUCCUAUGCUGUCGAGAAAAGCCUCUAGCGAGUUCAUGGCGGCCCGUACCCCUAAACCGACUCAGGUGGUCAGGUAGAGGAAUACCGAGGCGUUCGGGUGAACUAUGGUUAAGGAACUCGCAAAAUGCCCCCGUAACUUCGGGAGAAGGGGGGCCAUUCCUGGUGAUGAAGACUUGCUCUCUGAGCUGGGGGUGGCCGCAGAGACCAGCGAGAAGCGACUGUUUACUAAAAACACAGGUCCGUGCGAAGCCGUAAGGCGAUGUAUACGGACUGACGCCUGCCCGGUGCUGGAACGUUAAGGGGACCGGUUAGUGACCUUUCGGGUUGCGAAGCUGAGAACUUAAGCGCCAGUAAACGGCGGUGGUAACUAUAACCAUCCUAAGGUAGCGAAAUUCCUUGUCGGGUAAGUUCCGACCUGCACGAAUGGCGUAACGACUUCUCGACUGUCUCAACCAUAGGCCCGGUGAAAUUGCACUACGAGUAAAGAUGCUCGUUUCGCGCAGCAGGACGGAAAGACCCCGGGACCUUUACUACAGUUUGAUAUUGGUGUUCGGUUCGGCUUGUGUAGGAUAGGUGGGAGACUUUGAAGCAGCCACGCCAGUGGUUGUGGAGUCGCCGUUGAAAUACCACUCUGGUCGUGCUGGAUGUCUAACCUCGGUCCGUGAUCCGGAUCAGGGACAGUGUCUGAUGG